CCUACGGGAGGCAGCAGUAGGGAAUUUUCGUCAAUGGGCGCAAGCCUGAACGAGCGAUGCCGCGUGAGUGAAGAAGGCCCUCUGGUCGUAAAGCUCCGUUGCUGGGGAAAAAAGGCAGCAUCCGGGAAUGGGUGCUGACUGAUCGUGCCCCUCCAGACAGUCUAGGCUCACUACGUGCCAGCAGCCGCGGCAAUACGUAGGUGGCGUGCGUUAUCCGGAGUGAUUGGGCGUAAAGGGUGCGCAGGCGGUCCGGCAAGUCUGGAGUGAAACGCAUGAGCUCAACUCAUGCAUGGCUUUGGAUACUGGAGGACUGGAGAGCAGGAGAGGGAGGUGGAAUGCAAGGUGUAGCGGUGAAAUGCGUAGAUA
rnacentral:rRNA from 1 species